rnacentral:rRNA from 1 species
AGCGAACGCUGGCGGCAGGCCUAACACAUGCAAGUCGAACGAAGUCUUCGGACUUAGUGGCGGACGGGUGAGUAACACGUGGGAACGUGCCCUUUGGUACGGAACAACUCAGGGAAACUUGAGCUAAUACCGUAUGUGCCCUUCGGGGGAAAGAUUUAUCGCCAUUGGAGCGGCCCACGUCUGAUUAGCUAGUUGGUGAGGUAAAGGCUCACCAAGGCGACGAUCAGUAGCUGGUCUGAGAGGAUGAUCAGCCACAUUGGGACUGAGACACGGCCCAAACUCCUACGGGAGGCAGCAGUGGGGAAUCUUGCGCAAUGGGCGAAAGCCUGACGCAGCCAUGCCGCGUGAAUGAUGAAGGUCUUAGGAUUGUAAAAUUCUUUCACCGGGGACGAUAAUGACGGUACCCGGAGAAGAAGCCCCGGCUAACUUCGUGCCAGCCGCCGCAGUAA